CCCAGCCUCUGAGCUUGCAAGCUUGUCCUCCUCACAGCCAGGGGGAGAGGGGAAAACAGGGUUCACAACCUCCUACCUGUAAAAUGGCUGCCCCAGGCCGUGUUUGGUGAAACAGACACAAAUUCAUGGAGCAUUCUAGUGUUGCCAAAUCUGAAUUAUUUGCCAGAAGAAAGUCUUGGAUGAAAGAUUUCACCCAGAUUGCUGGGACAGUGUGAAUACCCCCAAUCCUCUGCUCUCCAACUCAGCUUGCCUAUUCUGCAUCCAGCUCCAUUCUUUGCUUCUAGAUGGAUCCCAGCACCUGUGGGGUACCCAGCACAUGAUCUGGAAU